CACUUCUCACCGUUUCUCUAUUCUCCUUAACUAAUUUACCAGAAUUGAAUCUCCAUCCUUGAAUUGGAUCAUAUUUCCACCCUAAAAUCAGAACGCAGCUCAAAAUCGGUGAGCUACAAUCGAAAUUUUUUUCAACCUUACCCUACCUAUCUUUGUUGUCGUCUUCUUCAUCAUCACUACCGCCGUUUUUGAGCUCAUACUCAUUUAUCGAUUCACGGUUUUGCUUUUUCUCCAAUUUGUCAAGCUCAAAGCUCAAAUUCAAUCCACAGCUGCUGAAUUCGUCUAAUUCAUGUUAUCCGCUGCAAAUUAAUGGUUUUGCAUUCUUCGGCCACACACACUUCACUUCUUCGCUGCGAUUUCUCACAGAGGAAAACCCUACAUCUCCCCCAAUUACCUCUCCUAGGUCUUUGUCCUUGCGCUUCAGAUUCUCACAUUUGCCGGAGGAGGAGAGGUGGAGUCGUUAAAAAUGUAGGAUGGGCUAUGUUUCAAGCUCAAUCUCGCGUCAAUGUCGGAAAAAACAUUGUAUUGAAGCGGUUUUCCGAUGAGGGUGAGUUGAACAGUCAAUCUACAUCUGAUUCGAGCAUUAAAGCUAGUAAUUGUUACAGCACAAGUUUUGGGGAGGAUCCUAUUGUGAAUAAGCUGAGGAGUCAGCUCGGGGUCAUCCAUUCUAUUCCAUAUCCGCCCAUAAAUCGCAGUAUUAUCGGCCUACUUGGUUUCUUCUUUUUUGUUGGUGUUGUAUUCGAAAAGGUAUGGGCGUGGAGGAAGGCGGAUGCGAGGAGUGGUGGCAGUAAACGCGGGAGUCAGCAGAAGGUGUCGUUGUUCCUCGAGAAGGAAUUGCAGAGGAAAGAGUCGGUGGAAUGGGUGAAUAUGGUGUUGGGGAAGCUGUGGAAGGUGUAUAGAGGUGGGAUUGAGAAUUGGAUAAUUGGAUUGCUGCAGCCUGUCAUUGACAAUCUGAAGAAGCCGGAUUAUGUGCAGAGGGUGGAGAUCAAGCAGUUCUCUAUGGGAGAUGAGCCGUUGUCUGUUAGGAGCGUCGAGCGCAGAACCUCGCGCCGUGCUAAUGACCUGCAAUACCAGAUAGGCCUCCGGUACACUGGUGGUGCGCGUAUGCUUCUACUCUUGUCACUUAACUUUGGCAUCCUUCCCAUUGCUGUGCCUGUCGGUGUGCGAGACUUUGACAUUGACGGGGAACUAUGGGUUAAACUGCGACUUAUACCAACAGAGCCAUGGGUGGGAGCUGUAUCGUGGGCUUUUGUCUCUCUUCCAAAGAUAAAGUUUAAGUUAUCACCAUUUCGCUUGUUUAAUUUAAUGGCAAUUCCCGUACUUUCAAUGUUUUUGACAAAACUUCUCACGGAGGACUUACCAAAGCUAUUUGUGCGUCCCAAAAAGAUAGUUAUUGAUUUUCAGAAGGGAAAGGCUGUUGGACCUGUUCCCAUGGACUCCAAAUCUGGAGAAACUCAAGAGGGAAACAGUAACUUUGCAGGAGAAUUGUCCGUGACACUUCUGGAUGCUCGGAAACUUAAUUAUGUAUUCUAUGGAAAAACAGAUCCAUAUGUUAUUUUAAGAUUGGGAGAUCAAGUUGUACGUAGUAAAAAAAACAGCCAAACUACAGUUAUCGGGCCUCCUGGCGAGCCAAUCUGGAAUCAAGAUUUUGAUAUUUUAGUUUCCAACCCUAAGAAGAAUAAAUUGUCAAUCGAAGUAAGGGAUUCUCUUGGAUUCACAGACCUAACCAUAGGUACUGCAGAGAUUGAUCUUGGAUCUCUGAAAGAUACAGUUCCUGCAGACAGGAUAGUUGUACUUCGAGGAGGUUGGACUCCAUUUGGAGAUGGAUCGACCGGAGAAAUUCUGCUGCGUUUGACAUACAAAGCAUAUGUUGAGGAUGAAGAAGAUGAAAGGUCCAACAAAGUACUCGCAAAUACAGAGGCAUCCCAGAACAACUUGUCUGAUUCUGAUGAACCAGAUUUCGCAAUUCCUAAACGUGCAGAGGAAUACGUAGUUGCAACAGAUACCGAGUCUUUCAUGAACGAUCUAGCAGCACUGUUAGUAAGUGAGAAGUUCCGAGGUAUAGUAGCUUCAGACACCACGAAUAACAGGUCUCCAGAUGACAGAGCCAACAAUGGUGCAUCUGAACCAAAUGAUGGAGCCAACAACGGUGCUUCUGAACCAAACAACACCGUUUCUGUGUCUGGACAGCAAACUCCAGCUAAUGAUUCUGGUGGUUCUCAAGGAUCAAGUUUAUUUUGGCUUGCUAUUGUUACAAGUAUCACUGUCCUUGUAGCGUUGAACGAUGGCUCCUCGGGUUUGUUCAAUCCUUGAUGUGAGUGGUCUCACAUUAUUAAUCGCCCCAACUGAAUUUACACAACUAUUAAAACGUUGCAAUUACAACAUCCCAAUUCUUUAGCAGCCAAAUGACGCUGUUUCACUGGUACAUGCUGUACAAAUUUCGUAGAACAUAAUUGAGGAUGUUUAAAUUGUAACGCCUCGAAAGCGUGUUUUAAUUGCAAAGAACCAACCAUUGAAGCUCUAUUUCAGUCAUCUUGUAUUUCUUUGUUAGUGAGGUUGGUGAAGACUGCAUAAGGUGGUGGAGAAGAGAGUAGACGUAGACUGCUUUUCCUAUUGGUAACUAAGUGAAGCUAUUGUUAUUAGGUAGAAGCAAUGUUUGUCAAUCCUACAUAUUCUUUAUUAUAGAUAGUCACCAUAUAAUUCUUUA